AUCGUGUGACCAAGCAAAGCAUAGUAAUACCUUUCCAAGGUCUUUGGGAACCACUUCCAUUUGCAUCCUGGUCGCCGCUGCCACUCCUAUUUGCAGUUCCAUUACCUGAAAAUCACAUGACAAAAGAACGACGGUAAGUUAUAAAGAGUAGACAGCUAAGAAAGCAAACCUUUCUUACUAGGGUGUCCUGAUAUGAAUGAGGAAUAAAAACAGUACAGACAGAUUAUCUAGUUUAGAUACUAAGGAAUAAAUAAUUUAUAUACAAGCUGAUGCUCUAGUACCGCUGGACAUUGAAAUUAAUCAGUGGUCAACAACUACUUAGUUAAAUACACAAACACAACUGAAGUUUAUAUUGGACGCGUUGUAGAUCUAAAUAAAUGAUCGAUUCAAACAUGGGAUGCUUCUGCAAAUAUACAAGCCAGUGGUUGGAUGUGAUAAUAAAAGCUUUAAUUUUGUGCACAAGCCACUGGUUGUAACUACUUUUCUAUUACAAGAUCGUGGGCAACCUUUUUGACUACCAAAUGCAUGUACGUGUCAGAUUAUAUACCAAGUCAAAACAUUGUCAGAAUCCUUGGUGACUACAAGAUGCAUGUGUAUUUCAGAUUAAUGAUGCCACUACUCUGUUCAAAUCAUCAAGACUGAGUUUUUCUUACCCCUGUAUGAUAUUGCAGCCUCUCAUUCAUCUAAAGAAGCACAAGUACUGAAACUGCAUCUACGUACUAAAACUGAAACUGCAUCUACGUACUUGAUUGAGAUGUAUACGCAUCAAGAAAGCUUGUACCUUCCCAAACAAGAGGACGCCCUCCAUGCUGAUGUCGCUGCCCCGUGCUACUGCCUUCAUGGUUGGCUCGUGCACCAUCAGCUUCGUUGCUGCAGCCGCCGAGCGCCAUGCCCUUGUCUUGGAGCAGCGAAUGGCACGAACUGGAUGGGGUGGAGGCGAGGAGAUGUGGAGGAAGGCGGGAGGCUAGUGAGCGCGUUGGCCGGACGCCGGAGAAGCUACGCUGGCGAGGAUGUGUUCUGUGCGCAGCGGCGGCGCCGCCCACAGGAGGAGCGAGAGGAAAAACAGCGAUUCUAGGGUUGGGACAUUUGCGUUCGUGCUUUUAUAUGAGCAGAAGCG
rnacentral:lncRNA from 1 species